rnacentral:rRNA from 1 species
AAUGAACGUUGGCGGCGUGGAUUAGGCAUGCGAGUCGAGCGAGAACCGUAGCAAUACGGGGACAGCGGCGAAAGGGACAGUAACGGGUAGAUUAUCUGCCCUCAGGUUUGGGAUAGCUGCGGGAAACUGCAAGUAAUACCAAAUAAUAUCUCCGGAUCAAAGGUGUGAUUCCGCCUGAGGAUGAGUCUGCCUCCUAUUAGCUUGUUGGUGGGGUAACGGACUACCAAGGCAUUGAUGGGUAGCGGGUGUGAGAGCACGACCCGCGUCAUUGGGACUGAGACACUGCCCAGACACCUACGGGUGGCUGCAGUCGAGAAUCUUCGGCAAUGGACGCAAGUCUGACCGAGCGACGCCGCGUGUGGGAUGAAGGCCUUCGGGUUGUAAACCACUGUCAGAGGGGAUGAAAUGCAGGUGGGUACUCCCAUUUGUUUGACAUAGCCUCAGAGGAAGUACGGGCUAAGUUCGUGCCAGCCGCCGCAGUAAGAC